AACUUUCUAAGCACAGGGAUGUGUAACUUUAUGGACAAUUGUAAGUUCUCACACCUAACUGAUGAAAGAAAAGCAGAUCUUGAGAGAAUAGUCAAAGAAAAACAAAAAGUCCGAGAAGAUAAAACAAGGGCAUUAGAGGACAAAGACCCAGAGAAGACACUGUCCGAAUGGUUAUCGAAGCGGUCAAAGACAGAUGAUCAGGAUGUGAAUGAAGUCGGCAUCGUGAGUGAGGCUCCUCUUCUUCCAGUGUAUGAAAUUCCUCCUCAUGUAGCUCAGCUCCAGAACCCUCCACCUUCUGUACUACCCCCUCCACCAGAUGUUCUCAGAGGACUGUCUUUUGUGGAAUGGGGUUGAGUCAGCCUUUGAGAAUUGUGUUCAUUUUAGUGAAAUAGCAAAUUUAGUGAUAGCACAGUGAUAAGCUUACUUCUGUGUAUCCGGGGGAAAAAACCCCAGAUCUGUGAAACAAGUACAAUAAUACUAGAUGUUGCAAUAUGUUUAUAUGUCUAUACUUUUUUUCAUACAUACAAGUAUGAAUAAUUUGAAAUUCAUUGUCAGUGAAUCUCUCAGUUUUGAAACUGUGAUAUACCGGUAUAAGCAGUAUGAUAGGUUGGACAGUUUACCACAAUUCAUGUCAUGUUUAACUUCUUAAAUGUGGUUGGAAUUGAAUUCCAAAAUAUUUGAAAUAAAGAUGAUAAA
rnacentral:misc_RNA from 1 species